AAAUUGAAGAGUUUGAUCAUGGCUCAGAUUGAACGCUGGCGGCAGGCCUAACACAUGCAAGUCGAACGGUAACAGGAAGCAGCUUGCUGCUUUGCUGACGAGUGGCGGACGGGUGAGUAAUGUCUGGGAAACUGCCUGAUGGAGGGGGAUAACUACUGGAAACGGUGGCUAAUACCGCAUAACGUCGCAAGACCAAAGAGGGGGACCUUCGGGCCUCUUGCCAUCAGAUGUGCCCAGAUGGGAUUAGCUUGUUGGUGAGGUAACGGCUCACCAAGGCGACGAUCCCUAGCUGGUCUGAGAGGAUGACCAGCCACACUGGAACUGAGACACGGUCCAGACUCCUACGGGAGGCAGCAGUGGGGAAUAUUGCACAAUGGGCGCAAGCCUGAUGCAGCCAUGCCGCGUGUA
rnacentral:rRNA from 1 species